rnacentral:lncRNA from 1 species
GAAAAAGCCCAUCAAAAAGAAAUGAAAGUUACUACAGUCAGAGGUCUACCUACAAUGGUGAAGACCAAAUGUUACGCCUGAAGCCGUCGUAGCUCACUGGAAUUAAUCAUCUGCAGAUUUGGGGCGGCAAUAAGGUAAUGCUUGUGGUAUCUCUCAAAAAUUCCGAUCCGAUGCCCAUCAAAUUUUAGCUCAAACUCAUCUUUAAGCUUUACCAAAUUCAAGGUUUAAACUGGUCCCCUGAGGUGAUUCCAAUGUUAGAUGUCUCUAAGCUCUCACCAGAAGCUGCAGAAUCAACACCCAAGCUGAAGAAUCGUAAACCAGUUCAUUUGAAUGUUUGCUGUUAGCUCUAAGGUAAAUCUGGCCUUUGACUAUACACUUACAUAAGAUCAGAUGUAACACUAAUUUAACUUGAAAUCUGUCCUAAUAAACACCUUACAAUGGGCUGAGCUUCAUACGAAACUAAUACCACCGUUAAUAAGUUAUUUUUUAGUUCAGAUCACAAAUUAGUUUAGGUCGAUUCUAAUUACAAGUUGUUGCUAGAUCUUGUUGUUUGCUGAAUCUUAUAGGUAUUGUGUCUUUUGAACUAAGUGAAAGCGGUUCGGUUUUCUUGAUAUGCUUUUAGACCUACAACCUUACCCCUUAAUUGUGUGAGCUUGCAUCUUCUAUUUGGUUCUCUAUUCUUGUAUGUGCUGAAUCUUAGUUGUGGUAGUUGUUGUUUAUCAAUGUUGAGAAGUUUCCUUGCUUGCGAUGGUAAUGAUUGAAAAUUCUGAUAUUGAACUGCUCCUGUACCUACAAAAUAAAAAACUUCAUUAGCUAAAAAAUCUGCUGCUAGUGCAUUGCCUUCCCUAAGGAUGUGAGCAAAAUGCACUAGCCCUUUUCUCCUCCACAAAUUAAUACUAGCCAUCUCCAUCCUGAUCUUCCAAGGAGCUUCCCGGUUUCCUUCUAUCAUAUUGAUCAUGGCAAGCGAAUCAGUUUCUAUCAAGAUCGGUACUCUCUGCUAUUCAAUAUAGUGUUGAAUACCUCCUUGAAUGGCUAUUGCUUCUGCCUUGAUGCUAUUUGUGAUCCCAAGUCUUUUAGCUUCAUCAUAUACUAGAUUACCAUCAGCAUCUCUAAUAUAGAAAGCUGCAGAGCUCUCACCAGGAUUUCCUCUACAAGCCCCAUCUGUGUUACAUUUUAACCAUCCUAUUUCAGGUUUUUUCCAAAUUACCACCUGCGAUUUUAUUAUGGGUCUGUAUUGUUCAAAUUGCUGAACCAGUUGAGACAAAUGGUUAGGAAUGACCUUUAUCCAAGGGUAUUUUAGCUUCACUAGUUUGACUAGGUUACUAUUAAUCUCUUGAAUCACCUUCCACUUCGUCAUAUUCCCUCCAUGCUCUAUAAUAUUCCUUCUUUUCCACUAUUUCCCACCACUUCUGUAUUGCUUGAUGAACUUGAAUGAAAGGGCCUUUUAGCCCUAUAGCAUAUGCAUAGUAUUUCCAGAUUGAUCCCGCAAAUUCUCCAUUGAUAAAAAGAUGAACCGUUGUUUCCUCUUGAGCUUUUUCACAACAUCUACACCUGGAAACCACAUUUAUCUUCAGCGUCUUCAACACUUCAUCCACAGGAAUUUUGAAUUUCCACAACCUCCACAAAAAGAAACAAAUUUUAUAGGGACCCCUGUACUCCAAAUGGAAACAUAUUCUUCCUUCUCGUGACCUUUCUGUCUGAUCUCUUCCCAAGCACUGCUUACUGAAAACUUUCCAGAGCUAGUUUUCAUCCACCAAGGAUGAUCAGAAAGCUCAGAAAUAUAUUCAUAUUGAAGUUUCUUGUGAGCAUGUUCAACAACUAAUUCAGAAAGGUAUUGGUGAAGCUUUUCUCUUUUCCAGCCACUUGAAUCCAUGAAAAAAAUUCAACUCUUCAGUAUUCAGAACUCUUACAAAAUCUGGAUGAGUUGACUUUAUAUAUAGUUCCUAAACCAGUCUAGUUAUCCUCCCAAGUGUCAGAAGUACCACUCAUUGACUCCCACCAGAUAUUCCCAUCUAUUUGAUCUCUCGCCUCAAUCAUUUUCUUCCUUAUUUGAGAUCCGUUUUUCCACAACACCUCUAUUGGUUUAAAUUUCUUACAAUAUUUAUUCCACAUGAAAUUAGACCAUAAUGAUGAAAUAGUUCUGAACCUCCACCAAAGUUUAGCAAAUUAUGCUUUAGAAAUAUCAUGAAGAUAGCUAAAGCCUAAUCCACCCUCUUUUUUUGGUAGGCACAACUUUGACCAAGAUACCCAAUGCCUGCUUCUACCUUCUUCCUUUGUGCUCCAAAAAAAUCUAGCAAAUAUCUUGUGCAUCUCAUUAAUAGUGUACUUAGUAGGGACAACUGCAGAUAUCAAGUAUAUAGGAAUACUUUGAAGCACACUUUCAAUGAGCACAACUUUGUCUCCAAAAGAUAAAAGUUUUCCUCUCCAAUUUUGCAAUCUAUCCUUAACUUUCUUUAUUAGAUCAUUGUAAUAUUCCUUCCUUUUCCUAUUGUGAAAAAUUGGACAACCUAAAUAUUUGAAAGGAAAGUUUCCUUUAGAUAAACCAGUAAUCUGCUCAACUUUCUCCACCAGUCUAGCCUCCACUUUAUGAAACAUAUAAAAACAACUUUUCUCCUUAUUAAUCAGUUUCCCUGAGAUUGUUUCAUACGCUUUAAGAUCCCUCAUUAUUUGUUUUAGAGUCCCUUCCUCAGCAGAUGAGAAAAUGAUAGUGUCAUCUGCAUAAGCCAAAUGAUUAAUGCUUUGACUCUAUUUAGGCAUUCCAUAACCCACAAAGUUAUGAUUUUCAAACAAUGAGUUUAGAGCUCUAGAUAAAACUUCCGCUGAUAGUAUAAACAAAGCAAGGGAUAAAGGAUCCCCUUGUUUUACCUCUCUUGUAGAGUGAAAUAAGCCUUUUGGUUGUCCAUUAAAUAAAAUAGAGUACCAGUUAUUAGAAAUCAACCUCCAUAUCAUGUCAAUGAAAUGAUUUGAGAAACCCAUCUUUGAUAAGACUUUGACAAGGUAGAGCCAAGAGACCCUAUCAUAAGCCUUAGCCAUGUCAAGUUUUAUAAUCACAUUGGCUGGUUUUCCUCUCUUCCUAAUAUCUAUAACAAUCUCUUGAGUUAGUAAAACAUUUUCAAUAAUGCUUCUACCCUUUACAAAUCCAGAUUGAUUAGGAGAAAUCAAUUUUGAUAGUACUUUCUCCAUUCUACCAUGAAUGACUUUGGAAAAUACCUUAUUGAUAAAGUUACUAAGACUUAUAAGUCUUAAGUCUGAGUAGUUUUGAAUAAGAUCUUUUAUUGGCAACAACACCAAGUUGGUGUGAGUAACAAAUUUUGGUAAGGUCUGGCCCUGAAAAAAACUGCAGGUAAGUCUGAAGAUAUCCACCCCCACAAUAUCCCAAGACUUUUGGUAGAAGCAUCCUGUAAACCCAUCUGGACCACUAGAACUAUCCCCAUUAAAUCAAAUGCUGCUUCUCUCACUUCUUCUAUAGUAGGUAUCUUGCACAAUAGGUCAUUCUCCUCUGGACUAACCAAACUAGGGACGUGUUGUAGCAACUCCAGAUUAGUAUCUUCAUCUUUCUAUGUGAAUUGCUGACUAUACCAUUCUACUGCUUCUGUUGCCAUUUGGUUUUCAUCAUCUAACCAUAUGCCAUUUUUGUCUUUGAUUCUUUUGAUCUUCAAUCUGUUUCUUCUCCCUUUUACUAGGUUAUGAAAGUACCUAGUAUUUCUGUCCCCUUCUACAAACCAGUCUAUUCCAGCCUUUUGCCUCCAAUAUUCUUCUUCAUAAUGCAGAUAUCUCUUUAAUUCAGCCUGACACUGCUGCAAAAUGGAUCUAUUUUGUGGAGUAAGGUCUUCUUCAAAUAAUGAUUUCUUGAGUCUCACUAUCUCUUCUCUGAUGAUAAGUUGUUUGAAAACAUCACCAUACACUUCUCUGCUCCAUUUUGAUAGAAUGCCCUUCAUCUUUUUCAUCUUGUUCUUAAACGUGAUAAAAGGAUUGAGCCCUUCUUCUGCAUGCCAAUUUUGUUUUACAACUUCCAUAAAAUCAGCAUGUUCAGUCCAAAAUUUCAAAAACCUUAAAGGUUUGAUGAAAUUUCCAGCCUGAACUCCGAAGGUGCACAACAUUGGACCAUGAUCUGAGCAUGUUCUGGCUAGAUGCUCCACUUCAAUAUGACCAAAGAUUGAUUGCAGGUGCUUAUUAACAAGCAUUCUGUCUAAUCUUUCAAAAAUGCAAUCUUCUCCUGUCCUACCAUUCCACCAGGUGAAAGGACUACUUUUGAACGGAACUUCCUCUAAUUCACAAGAGUUGAUGCAGAAAGCAAAAUCUUCUACCUCAUAUGGCUGAACAGGCAAGCCUCCUAUCUUUUCCUCCCCAUUAAGUACUACAUUGAAAUCACCCCCAACCAUUCAUGGAAUGGUAACUGUGUUGGCCAACUGAUAGAUGUCAUCCCAAAGUUCCAAUCUAUGAUUUGCAUCACAUUUGGCAUAUACUAAAGUCAUCACCAUCUCAAUAUUCCGGCUCUUGUAUCUUCAAGUUUAAAGUAAUCUGUUGAGAUUUAUCUUCAAUAACUUCCACAUCUACGCCUUGAGCAACAAAAUACCAAAUCUUUCCAUUAAUAUUAGCUCCUGUCACGUGCAUACCCAAUCUUCUUUUGUAUUUUUCAAUAUGUUUUGUCCGCUGAAAAGGUUCCGGUAGUACUAUAAUAAAGAACUUAUGAUGUCUGUUUAACAUUUGAAGCCUAUGAAAGGCUUGAUUAGUUUUAACAGAUCAAAUAUUCCAGGUGAAAGACUUAAUCAUCAGAUAAGCUAGAUUUGGCGGCCAAACUCCUUGUUACAACCCUGGAAGACUGUGGUUUAUCAAAUGGAAAGUUUUUAUUGCUCCUUUUUCUUACCUCCUUACAUAUAGUUUUAGGGGAUAUGUCAGCUUCCCUUGCAGCUUCCAUCUGCACCAUCUGCAUAUCUUCAUCUUUGUAUUCUUUAUCUUCCAAUUCGAGUAGAUUUUUCCCCUGUUUAUUCUGCAUAUUCACCUUGUGAGUCACUAGGUCAUGUAGAAUUUUGUUUGGAUAAAUAUUGCUGCUACUCUGUCUGUCUUGCAUAUCUAAUUCAAUACUUAAUCUCUCUUCCCAAUGUUCAUUCCUUGGCUCUAUGCAACCUAUAGCAGGGCAUGAUGAAAGUGGUUUAGCCUCACUUUCCAUCACCAGUUCCAUUUUUUUCUCUGAAUCUCCAGUGAACUACUCCACUUCUGGUUCCUUUAAUAAUUCUCUACUAUCUUCUGGAUCAUUUGUUUCUCCUCCAAGAUCCCCAUUAUCUGUUGUAGUGUUAUUCACUAUUAUUAACUCCACUUAUGGAUUUUCUUCAAUUUUUCCAUCUUCUCUAUCUACUCUGUCUCCACAGCAUGAAUCCUCCUUGUUGAUACUCUGGCUACCUGAUUGUGUGUUGAGACUUCUGAUUUUACUAUCAUCUUUGUUUUUUCAGGGUUGCCCACCUGAGCAUGUGAUUUGGUGUUGCUGUGUUCUCCAUUGUAAUUUGGUGCUCUUGCUUCUUUGAUGCCCUUUAACUGUUUAUCUUCGAUGUUUUCCAGUUCCUGUCUCUUUAUUUAAUGCCUCAAACAUGUUGAUUGUCUAAAUUCCGUUGUGCUUUUGUCUUCAUUACCUCCUGCUAUAUUUUUAAUUCUAUUAUCUUUUACAUCAUUCCACAUCUUUGGCACUCCUACAACUCUCCCACUAGAUAAGAAUCUAGUAGGAAAAGGCUUUACAGUAGGUUGCUUUUCUGCACUUUGAAUUUGCUUUCCUUCCCUUUUAAUAGAUUCAUUAUUAGCAUUAGCAUUAUCAAUAUUGAUUGCCUCCUUUUUGCUUAGUUCUGGAUGUAGUAUUAUGCAUUCUUCAUGGCCAUGACCUUGCAUUUUGCAUUCAUUACAUUACUUGGGCAAAAAGUUAUAUUUGAUCUUCACAACUUCCUUUCUCAAUUCCCCUUUAUCAUCAUCUGCUAUUUCCAUGAUCACUUGAGUAGGCAAAUUUUCUAGUAGAUUGACUUGUACUUUAACUCUUGCGCAACUUGGCUUGGUUUUAUUAAUGGUGGCCAUGUCAAGUUGUAGUGGCUUUCCAACUGUUGAAGCUAGUGAAAAUAGAACUUCCUUCACAAAAAAAGUAGGCAAUAAAUUUGGGAAUGAGAUCCAGGCCAUGGCUUGAGUAGUUUCCUCCGCCACCUUGAAUUUGGCAUCAUAUAUCAAUGACCUCAUCUGGUAGUUGUACCCUUCUUUAUCAUUAAAAUAAUAUACACCUUUUGACAUUAUGUUCACAAAAUCUUCAAGUAGAUUAAAUCUAAUAAGAAUGUGUCUGUUGCGCAGGUACCCAACUUGGCAGUCCCCUUUUGUUCCACAUUGUUUUGGAAUUAAUGUGCGCAAUUCCUCCAAGGCAGGCCAUUCAUAAGAGAACUUUCCAACCACUGCAUAUUGGAGAUUUUCAAUGAUAUUCAUUCAUGUCACUUCUGCCUCUGUCCAACGAACUACUGGAUAUCCAUCUACAAUGUUGACAGCUUUCAUCUCAAUUGGUUUU